UACGCCGCCUGUGAUCACUGCAUGCACCCGCUAGAAACAAUAACCGAGAAUAUAAGGCGUUUAGCUAAUCAGUCGGGUUUAGAAGUGCCUUCGACGUUAUACGAUCCUACAGCACAAUGGUUGAAGCAAUUUACCAGUAGUUGCCUGUUUAGGUAGCUACAGGAACGAUAAUUCUCAUCCGAUUAAUAAAUUAAAUAUGGAAGAAAAUGAAAUACCAUCUUAAAGGCAGCAGUGCUGGUAAGGGCGAGGUCUUUGUCGAAAGUUUGUCUGGAUUGCCCGACAAUUUAACGCCAAACGAAGAUGGAAUUUGGGUCCCGUUAAUUUUCUCUGUGGACAGCCAGAAUGCUAGUCUUUUUGCCAUCUUCUCGGAAUUCUCUAAUUUGCGUUUAUUUUUGGCUCGUAUUUUAUAUUUGUUCGAGGCGCCAUUUCGUGCAUUCAAUAAUAUUUACCCGAACAAAUUUUCGCAACGUUUUGUGCACUUUAUUGGCCACUGCGAAAGUGUCUCUUUUAUGAUUCCGAAACGUUCUACAAUUGUUCGUCUAGAUUGGGAUGGCAAUAUAGUGGGAUCUUUGCAUUGUUUUGAUAAAAGUGUUGGAGCGGCCUGUCAUGUGUUAGAAUUUAAUGAUUAUUUAUAUUUGGGGUCGCCGUUUAAUCGUUUCCUCGUUCGUGUUAAAUCGCCAGUGCCCAAAAAGCCAAUGCUACAAGCCCGGAUAAAUAAUGUGCGAUAUGAAGGCAUGGAAAUUGAACCUUCUUUGAAACCACGAAUGGAAAAGACGACAACAGCGCCACCAGUCGUUACUAAACCUACAGUCACUCAUGCCAGAUCUACUCCGACAACACCGAAGCCCGUUAUCUCAGCAAAGACAACCGUCGUCCCUUCUGCAAGCACGACGACGACAAGGACGUCAUUAAAAUCGAGCACUACAGAGAAGCCGAGCACAACUAAAACUGUAAAAAGUCCAUCCAUGGAGGGAACUCGAAUACCGAAAGAACCUGCCCCCAUAAAGGAGAAUAUUCCGGCUGAUAAUGUGGCGCCAAAACAGGAAAAACUUAAAGUAAUUAAUAAGCAUGGGAAACAUGUGGAACUUUAAUAAGAUUUUUCAACUUCACAACACCAUAUAUUUCAAAAGCAAAAAUCCUUUACUUAAUGUAAGCAUUGAUAAUUGGGAUUAUCUAUCGAUCUACACAUUCGAAAUUUUAAAAAGUCAAAAGCGAAACGUAUCUUAUGUCAAUGUCAACUGUAUAAGCACGAAGUUACAGCAAAGUAAAUGAACUUUAAUUUUUCUUGUCUGCCUAUCCCAAAAAAAAAGGAUGAUGAAGAAACAUUUAUUACUCAGCGAAAUGGUUUUGGUUACUGUAGCGCGGGAUGGGGAUUUGGAUCGAUUUAGAUGUAGAUUUUUUUUUAAUUAUAAAUAAAGUCAAGUCCGAUAGUGCACUAUUCAUUGUAUAUCUUUCCGUAACUACCUCGUAGUAGUUAACAAAAAUUAAAGAAAAACUAACUUUUUCCCCUUAAUUAUUCACCAACUUUCAAACUGAUAAGUGCUUAAUUAUUGUUUAUUAAAAAUUGAAAAACAUAUAUUUUAUUUACUUACAAUCAAAGCAAUUAGAAAAUCUAACUCUAAACAUUCCGAAUAAUAU